GUCGCCAUAGCUCAGUUGGUUAGAGCGUGGGUUUGAUUCACCCAAGGUCGCAGGUUCGAUCCCUGCUGGCGGCA
rnacentral:tRNA from 1 species